AAAAAGUAUAUAAAGUAGGAACCUCCACCCCUCACACUGCCAUUAUGUUCAUGUAGCAAAAUGAUUUACCUCAUUAUGAUGCUGCUGCUUAGUUUACUUCUAGUUACAAACCUCUUAGAUUGAACAUGGAUGUUUGUUACUUUAUUAUGCUUUGCGAUCCCCCUUUGUUAUUCUCAAAUUAUUUAAUAUGCUGUACUAUAUCUUUUUAGCAGAUUGUGUUUGUUAUAGUGCUUGCAGAUUAAACAUAAUAAUUGUAAUCCUUACCUGUAGUUCACCUAAGCAUAUUUAGGUAUAUUUGUCACUAAGUGGUUCUGUUUACAUAGAUUUAUUCAACCCCUGGUUGUUGAUCAACCACUUUUGUAUGCAAUGGGUGAUCAUGAAGGAGAAUUUGCUAUUUUUUAAAUCUAUAUUUAAAGCAUAUUUCUAAAAAUAUAUAUAUACAUAUUGAAAUUAAUAUUUUUCUACAAGAAGGCUAUAUUUUAGCUAUUCAUUUGUCCUUAGAAGUUAUGACUUGUUUCUUAUAAAUUUACAAGGUACCAUAAAGUUUAGAGGGUAAUGUGUUCUUAUCUCCAGAGCAUAGAAUGUGAUUUUAAAUAAAAAA